UGAGCCGCUAUUGUAUCCUUUUAAAAAAAGCGCCACUUUCAAUUCAGUCUCUUUGUUUCUCAAAUCAUUUUUAAAAGAUUUACUAACCUGAAAUUUUCUUGAUGCUUGGUGGAUUCAGUUAUUUCCAGUUCAAACUUGAUUCAAAGUUGAUUUUAUAGCAAAUAUAGAAUUUAAUUUGAGACAAUCAUUUUAUCUAGGAACCAAAACAUCCUUUUCUAUUAACAUUCUUCAUCUGACCUUUUCUCUUUUUUCCUGCUUUCUUUCAUUUUUUGAUGUACACAACUAUUUAUGAUGAUUGUUAAUAUAAUUACAUUAACCUCUAUCUCUGGCAGAUUCAUCUUCACCAAAUUAAGAUAGUCAUGUUGAUUUGGCAGAUAUUUCAGAAUGGAUUGAAAAUUAUUGAACGCUAAAUCCAGAGAGAUAUCCACAGGUCGUCAAAGACAAUCUUAGGAAAGUGUUGGCAAUUUGUUGAAAAUGGCAAAUUUUUGACAAAGAAUUGGAUUCUUUUUGGAAAUUUUCAUCCUAUGCAGUUCAUUCUAAUGCUGAAAAUGAAAUAAAAAGUAGGACAAAUAUCAGGGUAUUUGAACAUCGCGGGUCUGAUCAAGUUCAGUCUUCUAUUCCCUAAGUCCAAUAAUCCGUAAUUUCAACAUAACCGACAUCGAUAUGAAAGCUUUUCUUGAAAACGUUGAUCGCUAAAUGGACUAUCUACAUUUAAGGCAAAAUUAACGUUUCUCUACGAAAUUUUUGACAUCAAUGAAACUUGCAGCUUCUAAUCUAUUGAUUGAACCAUUAACUGAGUCAAGAUUUUAUAAGAUUGUGAAAGACUGUCCUGUAGCAUCGGGUUUAGGCUCACUUCACAACCUUUCCAAAGUCCGAUUAAAACCUUUAGAGCGAAUUGUGGAACUCAGUUGACAGUUUAAAGCUUUUAAAGGUUUAGACGUUUUUCACUUCGGUGCAGCUGAUUGGCUCAAGCAUGGUUUUGAAUCUCUGUUAUUUAAUUGACGUUAUUGUGUUGAAAGCUCUAGAAAUAGUUGAAACAAAAACUCAUUUCUUUCUCGGUCAAACCUGGUUACGUUCAACCACUUCAAUACAACUUACUUUGUAAAAUUUCUAUUAGUUUAAGACAAUCAUGGAAAUAACAUGUUUUAGUUAAAUAGUUAUUUUAUUAUUAAAUAAUAUAAAUCUUGUUUCUCUUUAUCAAGAUUAACAUGUGAAAAUUGUUUUGUAUGAGAGUCAAGAUGAACAUUUUAUGCUCAAUUUAGGUUUUGUUUUACAACUGACUGUUGACUAAACCUGGAUACAAGAGAUAAAUUUGUGAAAAUAAAACAAUAGUUUAAAUUA